rnacentral:rRNA from 1 species
UAAUACAGAGGGAGCAAGCGUUGUUCGGAUUUACUGGGCGUAAAGGGCGCGCAGGCGGGCGGAUAAGUCGGACGUGAAAAUUGUGGGCUCAACCUACAACCUGCGUCCGAAACUGUUCGUCUUGAGUACAGGAGAGGUGAGUGGAAUCUAUGGUGUAGCGGUGAAAUGCGUAGAUAUCAUAGAGAACACCGGUGGCGAAGGCGGCUCACUGGCCUGAUACUGACGCUGAGGCGCGAAAGCUAGGGGAGCGAACAGGAUUAGAUACCCUGGUAGUCCUAGCCGUAAACGAUGGGCACUAGGUGUUGGAGGUGUUGACCCCUUCAGUGCCGUAGCUAACGCAUUAAGUGCCCCGCCUGGGGAGUACGGUCGCAAGGCUG